rnacentral:rRNA from 1 species
GAACGAACGCUGGCGGCAUGCCUAACACAUGCAAGUCGAACGAGACCUUCGGGUCUAGUGGCGCACGGGUGCGUAACGCGUGGGAACCUGCCCUUAGGUUCGGAAUAACUCCCCGAAAGGGGUGCUAAUACCGGAUAAUGUCUUCGGACCAAAGAUUUAUCGCCUUUGGAUGGGCCCGCGUUGGAUUAGCUAGUUGGUAGGGUAAAAGCCUACCAAGGCGACGAUCCAUAGCUGGUCUGAGAGGAUGAUCAGCCACACUGGGACUGAGACACGGCCCAGACUCCUACGGGAGGCAGCAGUGGGGAAUAUUGGACAAUGGGCGAAAGCCUGAUCCAGCAAUGCCGCGUGAGUGAUGAAGGCCUUAGGGUUGUAAAGCUCUUUUACCCGGGAUGAUAAUGACAGUACCGGGAGAAUAAGCUCCGGCUAACUCCG